ensembl:lncRNA
GAAAAACGACUCCUGGGGAGAGUUAGAUGGGAUUUGGGGCAGGAAUCGUUCCCUGGAGGGUGGGGAUGGAGUUGCCACAGCAGCUGUGGCUGCCCCUGGGUCCCUGGCAGUGCCCAAGGCCAGGCUGGGCACUGGGACAGUGGAAGUGUCCCUGCCAGGGCGGGGGUGGCACUGGGUGGGAUUUAAGGUCCCUUCCCACCCAAACCAUUCAGGGAUUCUGAGAAGUCUUUGUGCACCAGGUACAUGCACAUCAAGGGAUGGGCAAUAAAUCCCACCACACCUGUAAAGAGCCAUGGGAUGUACAGGACACACGGGGUUUAUUCACUCACUCAUUAAACAUCUACCCCAGAGCAGCCCUGCAGUACAUCCUUCCUCCAGACUGACACACAAGAUUAGCUCAGAUUGCCUCUGUCUAUUGUUUUUAAGCAAAAAAAAAAAAACAACAAGAUUAGCUCAGAUUGCCUCUGUCUAUUGAUUUUAAGCAAAAAAAAAAAAACAACAAAGAAAAACAAAAAACCAACAACAAAACAAACCUUUUAUUUCAUAUCAUUGCAGUAAAAUAAUUGGAUUAAUUAGUUAAACCUUUCCAGCUGCAGAGAGGAGGAGACGUGUGACUUUUGAUUGCAUGCUCUCAGGACAGUCUGAGCUCUGAGCAGAGGCUCCUCAGAGAUUGUUCUUUUGAUCUGGGUGCAGAGCUCUGUGCUCACGUCACCCGGAGCAAGUCUCCGUAGCAAGGAGCUGUGCUGGCUCAGAUCCCCUCUGCAGGCUGCACAGCAAGGCAGAUGAUCUAAAUUGGAGGGAAUGGGUAGGGAUGUGGGCUGCAGGAAGAUUGCAGGUGCCCCCUGGACCUGCAGGAUUAAUGAGCCCUGCCUGGGAGAGCUGCCCAGAGCCCAGGCAGUGACAGGCACAGGACUCGGCCUUGGGAGCCCCUGCUGGGUGGGCCAUGGCCAGCAGGAGGGUGAAAAACGGCAGUUUGUAGGAUGGGGGAGCCUUGGCCUGAGAGCUGAGACUUUUCCUUCUCCUCUCCCCACCCUGCACAGGAUCCUUGCUGAAGUUGGUAAAUCAGGCAGCCAUACCUUCUUCCCCAGCCCAGGCAGAUUUUGGCAUCCCCUUGCAGCAGGGGAGGGUGAGGGGUGUCCUGCCCCAGCAGUGGAUGCUUCUCCUUGUGCAGAAUCCAGGAGAAUUGACAUUGAACAUCGUGCCUGGCAUUAAAGGGACACUAACUGUGCUCCUGGAGGUCUCACCUGGGAACAGAAAGUUUAAAUUGGCUGGUAAGUAGUGAUUCAUUCUCAAAAAAAAAAAAACAAACCAUACUUUUCUUAAUUCAACCCUUGGAAUUUUUGGUUAAUAUCUGACUCUCUGGUCUGAUCCAUCUCCAAUUCAUCCUUUCUUGUCAAGCUAGUUUUAAUAAUUGUAACACCCUCAGCUGUUUUGUUUAGGUAAUAGAGAACAAUUCAGCCUGAAGAAAAUUAAUUUUCCUGUUUCACGUGGUUUUGGGUUCUUUUUCUUUUUCUUUUUUUUUUUUUUUUUGGGGGGGGGGGGGGGGGGGGGGUUUUUUUUCUUUUUCUUUUUUUUUUUUUUUUUUCUUGUAGUUUUCUAAUGAAUUCUAGAAAAUAGCAGUGAAAAUAGGGAAGUCUGAAGUAAACAUUGAUUUUUACAGUGCAAUAAUUUAUGGUACCAACUUAAUAAGCGGUGUGACAGCAGCAGCUCACCCCCCAUUUAUCAUGCAUUGAUAGUUUGAUUCCAGAACUUUUAACACCACUGCUCGCUGUGACAUAAUAAAGGACCUGCCAACAUUCCCAUUAGAACCACGAGAUUUUAGGAGUUCUGCUUCAGCUAUAAAUAUCAGGAUUUGGAAUCUAUGAAUUAUUUUGCAGAGUAACAACCUCGGAAUGACUUGUCCCAGCAACUGGGAAGAAAUAAGAGUUUUUUGAACUUCAGGGGGACAUCUCCCUGUGUUCAGAAGAAGAGGCUCGGGGUUGCUCAGGCUGUGUCCACCAUCACAAGUUUCCCAGCUCAGAGCUCAGAUAGUUCAGAAGAAGAGGCUCGGGGAUGCUCAGGCUGUGUCCACCAUCACAAGUUUCCCAGCUCAGAGCUCAGAUAAAUCACUUUAAUUCCACAGGCAGCAAGGAGGAGGCAGCAGUGUCCAUCAGCAGGUUCUGAUGAGAGCUGGCUGGAGGGGAGCUGGCUCCACCCGUGCUCCCUUCCAUCCCAUCUGGAAAAUCCAGACGUUCCUCUCACCUUCCAGGUUUGUUGGUUCAGGAGCUUCUAAAAAAAAUAGAUGCAAAGACAACAGAACUCGUGGGUAGUGGGAUAACAAUGGAAAAUAAGUGAACUGGUGAGCUCAAUUCUAUUUAUACCCCCAUGUCUAAAGAGCUGUAAGAAAAAGGGUGUGUGGUUAUGUUUGUCCUAGCUUAGGUUGCAGGGAUUUAAUGUACAUUCUAUAAGUCAUUAAAUAAUUUUGUUGGGGCAUCUGAUCUCCAUGUUGAUACUUUAUUACCAGAGAUCACUUGGAGACAGGAAAGGGACUUAUGGAAUUGGAAAACAAUUUACAGUUUGUUGGGUUUUUUUUUCAGUAACUAGCUCAUUUUAAACCCCAUUUUUAGCAAGAAAUAAUGACUUGCUUUAUUUAGAGACUAUUUAAAAUGCUCUCGAGGUAUCUACUGAAUAUCUUGACAUCACAGAUAAAUCAGGAGCAGACUCAAAAUUAGCCCUGCACUGCUCUAUAUUACAAUGUGUUCUAUAUUACAGUUCCAUUAUCCAGCCCUUGCACAAUGCACCUCAGAGAUGGGAGAAGAGACAGAGUCUGCCCUCAAAGCAGUGUGGAACACACCAGGUGCUCCCCCCUGACACCCUGCCAGGUUUGCCUCAGGCACACAGGUGGAUAUUUGUCUGUGGGGAGGGUCUCAGCAGCCUGGGCGUGCUGGCCUUUGUGCUUUGGUGUUGCCAGUGCAUUAUUUAUAUAUCCAAAAGGAGCCAGAAGAGAGGUGGGUGCUCAGCUGAAGUUUAAGGUAACUAAACUGACCUAAUUCCUGUCAAAAAUAAUCAGGAUUAAACCUGCACUGUUCCAAGAUGGAAAACUGGGCCCCAGGGUCUGGCUGGGGCUGCUCUGGGUGAUGCUCCUGUCAGGAUUUGCUUUGUGGCGCCAGAACCAUUGAGCUGCUUCUUUAGUUAAUUUAAAUGUGCAUCAUUAGCAGUUAACUUCGUGCCUUCCCAGGCUUGGCAGGUCCUUACUGGGCUGAACAGGAGCUUUCCAUCCAAACCAGCUUCAGCUGUGCUGCUCCCUGCUCCUGCCCAGACCCCUCAUCUCCUCCAGGCUCUGGGAUCCCUCAGCCCUAAGGACUCCAGAGCCUUUGGCACGGCAGGAACUUUCCAGGGUGUGCAAUUCCUGAUGGGGCAGGAGCUCUGCAGGGUUAAUUCCUGACUAAAGCAGGAGUUCUGCAGGGUUAAUUCCUGAUGGGGCAGGAGCUCUGCAGGGUUAGUAAUUCCUGGUGGAGAAGGAGUUCUGCAGGGUUAGUAAUUCCUGAUGGGGCAGUUCUGCAGGGAUAAUAAUUCCUGAUGGGGCAGUUCUGCAGGGGUAAUAAUUCCUGAUGGGGCAGUUCUGCAGGGUUAAUAAUUCCUGAUGGGGCAGUUCUGCAGGGUAAAUUCCUGAUGGGGCAGUUCUGCAGGGGUAGUUCCCGAUGGGGCAGGAGCUCUGCAGUGUUUGCUGCUGGGGAACAUCUCAGGGUGAUGGUGGGCACAGAGGGAAAGCAGGGCUGUCCCCAGGCUCUCCUGCCAGCAUUAACCCCAGCAGCACAGAGCAUUUCCUCUCCUUUGGCCUCGGACCUUGUUGUUCGGGAGAAAAUGAAACAAUAAAGGAGCGUUUGGAGUGAUUUCGUUAGAAAUCCAUCAGGCUGUCAGACAGUCCAGUGGCAUCAAUAAUUCCCUAUUAAGCCCUCUACACCCAUUAUGGUUUGUGCUUUUCCUUUUUUUUUUUUUUUUUUUUUAAGGGGGGGGGGGGGGGGUUUUCCUUUUUUUUUUUUUUUUUUUCCAAAGUUAGUUUCCAGGCAACCAGUAAGAACUGAAUUGCAUUAAGCUAUUAAUUCAGCCUUGCAUGCCAGCUCCAGCUUCUGCAGCCCAGCUCUUCCUCUCCUCUACAAGUGUCCUCCUAAAACCCCUU